rnacentral:rRNA from 1 species
AUUGAACGCUGGCGGCAUGCCUAACACAUGCAAGUCGAACGAGUGGCGGACGGGUGAGUAAUUUCCGGGAAACUGCCUGAUGGAGGGGGAUAACUACUGGAAACGGUAGCUAAUACCGCAUACCAUCAGAUGUGCCCACGUUGGAUUAGCGAGUUGGUGGGGUAACGGCUCACCAAGGCGACGAUCCCUAGCCGGUCUGAGAGGAUUACCAGCCACACUGGGACUGAGACACGGUCCAGACUCCUACGGGAGGCAGCAGUGGGGAAUAUUGAACAAUGGGCGCAAGCCUGAUGCAGCCAUGCCGCGUGUAUGAAGAAGGCCUUCGGGUUGUAAAGUACUUUCAGCGGUGAGGCGUUACCCGCAGAAGAAGCACCGGCUAACUCCGUGCCAGCAGCCGCGGUAAUAC